CUCUAUACGGAGUUACAAAGGACGACAUUAGACGAAUCAUCUGGAAAGAUGAAUCAAAGAAGGUAAUAAUCCUGUAGUCGAAAAUGUUGUCUCUCUUGAGUGGAUCCUGAGUACGACGGAGCACGUGAAAUUCCGUCGGAAUCUGGGAGGACCAUCUCCUAAGGCUAAAUACUCUCUAGUGACCGAUAGUGAACCAGUACCGUGAGGGAAAGGUGAAAAGCACCCCGGAAGGGGAGUGAAAUAGAACCUGAAACCGUGUGCUUACAAGUAGUCAGAGCCCGUUAAUGGGUGAUGGCGUGCCUUUUGUAGAAUGAACCGGCGAGUUACGAUUUGAUGCAAGGUUAAGCAGUAAAUGUGGAGCCGUAGCGAAAGCGAGUCUGAAUAGGGCGUUUAGUAUUUGGUCGUAGACCCGAAACCAGGUGAUCUACCCUUGGUCAGGUUGAAGUUCAGGUAACACUGAAUGGAGGACCGAACCGACUUACGUUGAAAAGUGAGCGGAUG
rnacentral:rRNA from 1 species